rnacentral:rRNA from 1 species
UACCGAGGGGGCAAGCGUUAUUCGGAAUUAUUGGGCGUAAAGGGCGCGUAGGCGGCCUGGCAAGUGGAAGGUGAAAUCCCUCGGCUUAACCGAGGAACUGCCCUCCAAACUGCUUGGCUUGAGUCCGGGAGAGGUGAGUGGAAUUCCCAGUGUAGCGGUGAAAUGCGUAGAUAUUGGGAGGAACACCAGUGGCGAAGGCGGCUCACUGGACCGGAACUGACGCUGAGGCGCGAAAGCGUGGGGAGCAAACGGG